CCCCGGGUUGCAUUGGAGCAGUGGAUUGAGCUCUUCAACUCUCAGCACUUCAACACUCCGCUUGUCCCCUAAGGGUUUUCUGAAGGUCACUGAUGCUGGCAGGAAGUGUGGAAAAAGGAUGUUUAUACCUGGGGCCGGGAGAUGGCCUCUCUCAGGCUGGGAGAGACUGGCAGAGCUGCCUGAUAAUGAGAACAAUGCCAUCCACACCAUUGUGAGCACACGGUAAGCCUCAGGCAUGUGGUACACCUGAGAGGCGCUUCUGUGUCUCCUGGAUUGUUUAUGACAAUCAUGACAAGCAGCCACUGCCUUCCCAUUUCACAGCCAAAGGAAGCAUGGUGUGGGCAGAUGCAGUUGCAGUUUGUCUCCAAGGAAGGAAAGUGGCUGAGUUGUAAGUGGCUGAGUUGCAGGCUGGACUUCGGUCCAUAUUAUUAUGGGUUGAACUGUGUUCCUCCCCCCAGAUUUAUGUUAUGGUCCUACCUCCCAGGACCUUGGAGUGUCACUUUACUUAGAAGUAAUGUAGUUGCAGAGGUAAUUAGUUACGAUGAAGUCAUGCUGGAAUGGGGUAGGCCCUCGUCCAAUAGGACAGGUCCUUAUCAAAAGGGGAAAUUUGGAGACAGACCCGCACUCAGGGUGGAUGCCACCUGAGGAUGGAGGCAGAGGUCAGCGUGGUGCUUCUACAAGCCAAGGAAGGCCAAGGAUGACCAGUGAGUUAGGAGAAGCCGGGAGAGGCCAGGGACAGAUCCUCCCUCACAGUCUUAGAAAGAAGCAGUCCUGCUGACACUGCAGUCUGGAUCUUGCAGCCUCCGGAACUGUGAGCGAGUACACUUCGGCUGUGUAAGGCACACGGUCUGUGGUGCUUUGUGAAUUACGGCAUCCCUGGGAGACUGACACAGACAUCAAACCAAACCUGUCCCCUUUCCACUGUAUUUCCUUGAGCUUUAACGGAGCAACGAGAAGACUUUGAAGGCCCCCUUGAGUCCUCUACAGGGUGAGGACGGAAAGGAAGCAGGCCUGGGCUCCAGGGUCCCAGGGCUCUGGGAGAGGACUCUUGGUGCCUGCUGGUGGCUGUUCCCUCCUCCUCUCUGUCAAGCCACUUUUCCCGUUUCUGCACUCGCUCUUGGGCUGAGACUCCUCAAGAGGGAACUCCCUUGGUGCCGCCAUCUGCGGCCGUGGGAGGGAUCAGAGUGGCCCAGCGGCCAUGCAGAGGGUGCGCAGUGCUGAAGAAGUCAUGGAGCAAACUGAUCUCUUACUAGAACGAAGUCAACAAGAGCUACCCUUGGACUCUGGAUGCCUGGGAGGGUCUGGAGCCGUCGGGCAGAAGGAGAAGGUGGAGCGGGUCUUCCCGGAGGCCGGCUCCCACGGGGGCGGCCAAGGCUCUGGGCCUCUCGGCAUGCCUCUGCGGAUCCUGUUGGAUCCAGAACCGUCUGGAUCACCUGAAGAGUUAUUUGAUACCAGCUGAUUUUCUAAGGGGACAGCCGGGUGGGGAUAUCAUAGGCAGGCACACUGGCUUCAGAAUUAGAGGCCAAAAGUGUGGACUCUCUCAGCCACUAACUCAGUUCUGCUCUCUGGCAAAACCCUUCGCAGCUCGGGCUGCCCUGUCUGUGAGUGGAGGUGGGCAGCUCCCGUCUCAGAGUCCUGGUGGGGGUGAGGUGGAAGGCCCCAGGGGCGGCACCCUCCAGUGAACUCCGUAGCUUCCUCCCCUUCAUCUCCCACGUUGUUUACAGUGUAGCUAGGGGUCAGGACACUGUCCCUAUUUCAUAUGCUUUGUUUGGCAUUUUCGGUAUUUAAGCCUCUGUCAAUUCAAUCAGACUUCGCUACAGAAAGGGCAAGAUACCAGGAAAUGCAGACAGUGCCUAAGCAUCGUUCCUCAUCUCGAACAGUGGUUCUAAGUUGACUCUGUGGUGUAUUUCUAGUGGCAAUACUAGAUAUUUUCCUUUAUAGCAAAAAUGAGAAUCUUUAUUAAAACAACUAUGUAUUAUUAUUUAAC
rnacentral:lncRNA from 1 species